AUAUUGCUCACUCUGCCCCCUGCACAAGCAAUACGGUGAGACACACACACACACACACACACACACACACACAGUGUUAUAUUGCUCACUCUGCCCCCUGCACAAGCAAUACGAUGGUAAGCUUUAUGAUGCGUAUGUUAGUUACCCAAGUGGGAACAGCGUUUCCAUGGCAAUGACCUUUGCUCUUAGGGUUCUCCCCGAGGUUCUGGAGCGUAACUAUGGUUACAAACUCUUCAUCAGAGGCAGAGAUGACCUCCCAGGUGAAGAUAGACCAGCAUUUGAGUUGUGUUUGACGUCGUCGAUAAGGCUCUGGCGAAGAGUCGCCGACUCCUCAUUGUGCUGGAUGGAACAAAGAUGGACACACACAAGCAGACA